rnacentral:rRNA from 1 species
CCUACGGGUGGCAGCAGUGGGGAAUAUUGGGCAAUGGGCGCAAGCCUGACCCAGCAACGCCGCGUGAAGGAAGAAGGCUUUCGGGUUGUAAACUUCUUUUAGGAGGGAAGAGCAGAGCACGGUACCUCUUGAUUAAGCCACGGGUAACUACGUGCCAGCAGCCGAGGUAAUACGGAGGUGGCAGGCGUUGUCCGGCUUUACUGGGUGUAAAGGGCGUGCAGCCGGGAAGACAAGUCAGAUGUGAAAUCCCGCGUCUCAACCGCGGAACUGCAUCUGACACUGUUUGUCUUGAGUACCGAAGAGGUCAGCGGAAUUCCUUGUGUAGCGGUGAAAUGCGUAGAUAUAAGGAAGAACACCAGUGGCGAAGGCGGAUGACUGGACGGCAACUGACGGUGAGGCGCGAAAGCGUGGGGAGCAAACAGGAUUAGAUACCCGGGUAGUC